rnacentral:rRNA from 1 species
CUACGGGCUGCACCAGUGGGGAAUAUUGCACAAUGGGCGCAAGCCUGAUGCAGCCAUGCCGCGUGUAUGAAGAAGGCCUUCGGGUUGUAAAGUACUUUCAGCGGGGAGGAAGGGAGUAAAGUUUAUACCUUUGCUCAUUGACGUUACCCGCAGAAGAAGCACCGGCUAACUCCGUGCCAGCAGCCGCGGUAAUACGGAGGGUGCAAGCGUUAAUCGGAAUUACUGGGCGUAAAGCGCACGCAGGCGGUUUGUUAAGUCAGAUGUGAAAUCCCCGGGCUCAACCUGGGAACUGCAUCUGAUACUGGCAAGCUUGAGUCUCGUAGAGGGGGGUAGAAUUCCAGGUGUAGCGGUGAAAUGCGUAGAGAUCUGGAGGAAUACCGGUGGCGAAGGCGGCCCCCUGGACGAAGACUGACGCUCAGGUGCGAAAGCGUGGGGAACAAACAGGAUUAGAUACCCCAGUAGUC